AAAGCACAUUGCGCCCCUUGGUAUUCCAUGGGGCAUGCCUGUUCGAGCGUCAUUUGUACCCUCAAGCUCUGCUUGGUGUUGGGUGUUUGUCCCGCUUUUCGCGUGGACUCGCCUUAAAACAAUUGGCAGCCGGCAUAUUGGCCUGGAGCGCAGCACAUUUUGCGCCUCUUGUCAUGAUUGUUGGCAUCCAUCAAGACUAUUUUUUACUCUUGACCUCGGAUCAGGUAGGGAUACCCGCUGAACUUAA
rnacentral:misc_RNA from 1 species